rnacentral:rRNA from 1 species
UACGGGGGGAGCAAGCGUUGUUCGGAUUUACUGGGCGUAAAGCGCGUUCAGGCGGUUUGGCAAGUCGGGCAUGAAAUCCUUCGGCUCAACCGGGGGAGGUUGUCCGAUACUGCUAAACUGGAGGGCAGUAGAGGGUGGUGGAAUUCCGGGUGUAGUGGUGAAAUGCGUAGAGAUCCGGAGGAACACCAGUGGCGAAAGCGGCCACCUGGACUGUACCUGACGCUGAAACGCGAAAGCUAGGGGAGCGAACGGG